rnacentral:rRNA from 1 species
GAGCGGCGAACGGGUGAGUAACACGUGGGUGAUCUGCCUCGUACUUCGGGAUAAGCCUGGGAAACUGGGUCUAAUACCGGAUAUGACCGCAUGCUGCAUGGUGUGUGGUGGAAAGAUUUAUCGGUGCGAGAUGGGCCCGCGGCCUAUCAGCUUGUUGGUGGGGUAAUGGCCUACCAAGGCGACGACGGGUAGCCGACCUGAGAGGGUGACCGGCCACACUGGGACUGAGACACGGCCCAGACUCCUACGGGAGGCAGCAGUGGGGAAUAUUGCACAAUGGGCGGAAGCCUGAUGCAGCGACGCCGCGUGAGGGAUGACGGCCUUCGGGUUGUAAACCUCUUUCGACAGGGACGAAGCGGAAGUGACGGUACCUGUAGAAGAAGCACCGGCCAACUACGUGCCAGCAGCCGCGGUAAUACGUAGGGUGCGAGCGUUGUCCGGAAUUACUGGGCGUAAAGAGCUUGUAGGCGGUUUGUCGCGUCUUCUGUGAAAACUCACAGCUCAACUGUGAGCUUGCAGGGGAUACGGGCAGACUAGAGUACUUCAGGGGAGACUGGAAUUCCU